rnacentral:rRNA from 1 species
UGGUUUGAUUCUGGCUCAGGAUGAACGCUGGCGGCAUGCCUAAUACAUGCAAGUCGAACGGAGUGAAGCCUUCGGGUUUCAUUCAGUGGCGAACGGGUGAGUAAUACGCAGGGAACCUGGCCAUGGCAGGGGGAUACACUCUGGAAACGGAGCAUAAGACCCCAUAGGCAGUAAGGCGGCAUCGCCUUACUGUUAAAGAAAGCUGAAAGGCUUUGGCGAUGGAUGGACCUGCGGUGCAUUAGCUUGUUGGUGAGGCAACGGCUUACCAAGGCGAUGAUGCAUAGCCGGCCUGAGAGGGCGGACGGCCACACUGGGACUGAGACACGGCCCAGACUCCUGCGGGAGGCAGCAGUAGGGAAUUUUCGUCAAUGGGCGCAAGCCUGAACGAGCAAUGCCGCGUGAGUGAGGAAGGUCUUCGGACUGUAAAGCUCUGUUGCCGGGGAAAAAGGGGAAAUGCAGGAAAUGGCAUUUCAUGGAUGGUACCCGGCCAGAAAGCCACGGCUAACUACGUGCCAGCAGCCGCGGUAAUACGUAGGUGGCGAGCGUUAUCCGGAAUGAUUGGGCGUAAAGGGUGCGCAGGCGGUCUGUUAAGUCUGAAGGCAAAGGGAUGAGCUCAACUCAUUUAUGAUUCAGAAACUGGCAGACUUGAGGACAGGAGAGGGCGGUGGAACUCCAUGUGUAGCGGUAAAAUGCGCAGAGAUAUGGAAGAACACCAGUGGCGAAGGCGGCCGCCUGGCCUGUGACUGACGCUGAGGCACGAAAGCGUGGGGAGCAAAUAGGAUUAGAUACCCUAGUAGUCCACGCCGUAAACGAUGAGGAGCAGGUGUUGGGAGUGAAAUCUCAGUGCCGAAGCCAACGCAGUGACUCCUCCGCCUGGGGAGUAUGCACGCAAGUGUGAAACUCAAAGGAAUUGACGGGGGCCCGCACAAGCGGUGGAGUAUGUGGUUUAAUUCGAAGCAACGCGAAGAACCUUACCAGGUUUUGACAUCGGAUGCGAAGGCGCAGAGAUGCGCUGGAGGCUAUCAUCCAGACAGGUGGUGCAUGGUUGUCGUCAGCUCGUGUCGUGAGAUGUUCAGUUAAGUCUGGCAACGAGCGCAACCCCCGUGGUAUGUUACUAACGCUUUAGGGCGAGGACUCAUAUCAGACUGCCGGUGACAAACCGGAGGAAGGCGGGGAUGACGUCAAAUCAUCAUGCCCCUUAUGACCUGGGCUACACACGUACUACAAUGGCGUCUACAGAGGGAAGCGACCCUGAGAAGGGAAGCGAAACCGGAAAAGGGCGUCCCAGUUCGGAUUGAAGUCUGCAACCCGACUUCAUGAAGAUGGAAUCGCUAGUAAUCGCGGAUCAGCAUGCCGCGGUGAAUACGUUCCCGGGCCUUGUACACACCGCCCGUCAAACCAUGGAAGCCGGCAACGCCCGAAGCCGGUGGCAUAACCUUUUAGGAGUGAGCCGUCGAAGGCGGGGCCGAUGACUGGGGUUAAGUCGUAACAAGGUAACC